rnacentral:rRNA from 1 species
GAUGAACGCUGGCGGCGUGCCUAAUACAUGCAAGUCGAGCGAACGGACGAGAAGCUUGCUUCUCUGAUGUUAGCGGCGGACGGGUGAGUAACACGUGGAUAACCUACCUAUAAGACUGGGAUAACUUCGGGAAACCGGAGCUAAUACCGGAUAAUAUUUUGAACCGCAUGGUUCAAAAGUAAAAGACGGUCUUGCUGUCACUUAUAGAUGGAUCCGCGCUGCAUUAGCUAGUUGGUAAGGUAACGGCUUACCAAGGCAACGAUGCAUAGCCGACCUGAGAGGGUGAUCGGCCACACGGGAACUGAGCCACGGUCCAGACUCCUACGGGAGGCAGCAGUAGGGAAUCUUCCGCAAUGGGCGAAAGCCUGACGGAGCAACGCCGCGUGAGUGAUGAAGGUCUUCGGAUCGUAAAACUCUGUUAUUAGGGAAGAACAUAUGUGUAAGUAACUGUGCACAUCUUGACGGUACCUAAUCAGAAAGCCACGGCUAACUACGUG